rnacentral:rRNA from 1 species
CGCCUUGCCAGCCGCUCAGAACUUAAAGGAAUUGACGGGGCCGCACAAGCGGUGAGCAUGUGGUUUAAUUCGAAGCAACGCGAAGAACCUUACCAGGCCUUGACAUGCAGAGAACUUUCCAGAGAUGGAUUGGUGCCUUCGGGAACUCUGACACAGGUGCUGCAUGGCUGUCGUCAGCUCGUGUCGUGAGAUGUUGGGUUAAGUCCCGUAACGAGCGCAACCCUUGUCCUUAGUUACCAGCACGUUAUGGUGGGCACUCUAAGGAGACUGCCGGUGACAAACCGGAGGAAGGUGGGGGAUGACGUCAAGUCAUCAUGGCCCUUACGGCCUGGGCUACACACGUGCUACAAUGGUCGGUACAAAGGGUUGCCAAGCCGCGAGGUGGAGCUAAUCCCAUAAAACCGAUCGUAGUCCGGAUCGCAGUCUGCAACUCGACUGCGUGAAGUCGGAAUCGCUAGUAAUCGUGAAUCAGAAUGUCACGGUGAAUACGUUCCCGGGCCUU